CUACAAUGGCGUAAACAAAGGGAGGCGAAGCCGCGAGGUGGAGCAAAUCCCAAAAAUAACGUCUCAGUUCGGAUUGUAGUCUGCAACUCGACUACAUGAAGCUGGAAUCGCUAGUAAUCGCGAAUCAGAAUGUCGCGGUGAAUACGUUCCCGGGUCUUGUACACACCGCCCGUCACACCAUGGGAGUCAGCAACGCCCGAAGCCGGUGACCCAACCGAAAGGAGGGAGCCGUCGAAGGUGGGGCCGAUAACUGGGGUGAAGUCGUAACAAGGUACC
rnacentral:rRNA from 1 species